rnacentral:rRNA from 1 species
UCCGUAGCCGGUUUGAAAAGUUCCUGGUUAAAUCUGGUAGCUUAACUAUCAGUCAGCUAGGAAUACUAUCUUACUAGAGGGUGGGAAAGGCUUGGGGUACUCCGGGGGUAGCGGUGAAAUGCGAUAAUCCUCGGGGGACCACCAGUGGCGAAGGCGCCAAGCUGGAACACGCCUGACGGUGAGGGACGAAAGCCAGGGGAGCGAACAGGAUUAGAUACCCUGGUAGUCC